rnacentral:sRNA from 1 species
UGAAAUAAAGUUUAAUAUUGUAACGAAA